GUCUAUAGCCAUACCACGCUGAACGCACCCAAUCUCAUUUGAUCUUGAAAGCUAAGCAGGGUUGGGCCUGGUUAGUACUUAGAAGGGACAAAUACUGGGGUUGCCAUUUCCU
rnacentral:rRNA from 1 species